AUUGAACGCUGGCGGCAGGCUUAACACAUGCAAGUCGAGCGGGGUGAUGGUGCUUGCACUAUCACUUAGCGGCGGACGGGUGAGUAAUGCUUAGGAAUCUGCCUAUUAGUGGGGGACAACAUCUCGAAAGGGAUGCUAAUACCGCAUACGUCCUACGGGAGAAAGCAGGGGAUCACUUGUGACCUUGCGCUAAUAGAUGAGCCUAGGUCGGAUUAGCUUGUUGGUGAGGUAAUGGCUCACCAAGGCGACGAUCCGUAACUGGUCUGAGAGGAUGAGCAGUCACGCUGGAACUGAGACACGGUCCCGACUCCGACGGGAGGCAGCAGUGGGGAAUAUUGGACAAUGGGCGAAAGCCUGAUCCAGCCAUGCCGCGUGUGUGAAGAAGGUCUUCGGAUUGUAAAGCACUUUAAGUUGGGAGGAAGGGUUGUAGAUUAAUACUCUGCAAUUUUGACGUUACCGACAGAAUAAGCACCGGCUAACUCUGUGCCAGCAGCCGCCGUAA
rnacentral:rRNA from 1 species